AUACGAUUAGAGAAAGCAUAAGCGUUGUGAAAAUAAUGCAGAAUUUCAAAGUAAAGAAAUCAUUCACGCCUGACUUUGGAGCAGAGGGCAUCUAUGGAGGUUUCUUGCUUGCGGUGAGGUCAGUGAAUGGUCUGGGAUUUUAUGAUUGGGAGAACACCGAACUGAUCCGCCGCAUUGAGAUCCAACCUAAACAUAUCUUCUGGUCAGACUCUGACGAGUUGGUCUGCAUCGCGACUGAAGAGUCUUUCUUCCUCCUUCGAUAAAAUGGCUGAUAAAGUAGUUGCCUCACAAGAGAACAACGAAGUCGUGACGGAGGACGGCAUUGAGGAUGCUUUUGAGAACCUUGUAUUUACUGGGCUACAUAGCCAAACAUGACCAUCUCUACCUGGGAAACAGGGACCUCAACAUCGUCAGCUACUCCCUGCUGGUCUCAGUCCUCAAGUACCAGACUGCUGUCAUGAGGAGGGACUUUGGUGUGGCCGACAAGGAGCUUCCCACAAUUGCAAAAGCGCAACGGACAAGAG